rnacentral:rRNA from 1 species
UACAGAGGUCUCAAGCGUUGUUCGGAUUCAUUGGGCGUAAAGGGUGCGUAGGUGGCGCGCUAAGUCAGGUGUGAAAUUUCGGAGCUUAACUCCGAAACUGCAUUUGAUACUGGCGUGCUUGAGGACUGGAGAGGAGACUGGAAUUCACGGUGUAGCAGUGAAAUGCGUAGAGAUCGUGAGGAAGACCAGUGGCGAAGGCGGGUCUCUGGGCAUUAACUGACGCUGAGGAGCGAAAGCAUGGGGAGCGAACAGG